rnacentral:rRNA from 1 species
AUUAUGUUUUUUAUUUAUUGGUAUUGCAUAUCAUUUAAGGAAAAUUUUAUAGUUAUAAUUAAUAAAAUUAAAAGGUUGAAAGUUUUAUUAUUUUUAUUGUUUCAUAAUAAAAAUUAUAAGUUUUAGGGUUGAAAUGUCGACUUUUAAAAUAUUUGUGUUUUGUAAAAAAUUAGAAAUUUAUUAUUAAUAUUAAAAAUUUUAUAAAUAGUAAAAGUUGAAGUAUUUUUAUUAUUAGUUUUAUAACUAUUUAUGUAAUUUUAGUAUAAUUAAAAUUUAAUAUUUUAUAAUAAUUUAUUAUUAUAUUAAUAAUUUUAGGAUUAGUAAUUUUUUUUAAAUUUAAUAAUUUUUAUAAAUUUAAUUAAAAAACUCAAAAAUUAAUCAAAUGUUUAUUAAAAACUUAGACUUUUAAAUAAAGUUUGCUUCUGCCCAAUGAUUUUAAUUAAAUGGCAGUCUUAGCGUGAGGACAUUAAGGUAGCAAAAUAAUUUGUGCUUUUAUUGGGUUCCAGUAUGAAUGAAGUUAUUGGUUAAUUUUAUUUUAGUUUUUAAAUGAAUUUAUUUUUAAUAAUAAAAAGGUAUUGUUAUAAUAAAACAAAGAUAAGUCUUCGGAAAUUUUUUUUUAAUUGUAAUGUUAAUUAUUUUUAAAAAUUUUCUAGGGCAGAAUUUUAUAUAAUUGUUAUUUCUAUUUAUAAAUUAAAGAAUUACUCCGGAGUUAACAGAAAAUCAUAUCUAAUCUAGUACUUAUAGUAGGAUAAGUUUUACAUCGAUGUUGUAUUUAAGUAUAUUAAAAAGGGAGAAGAUUUAAAGUUUAAGACUGUUCUUCUUUUAAUUAAUUUAACGUGAUAUUAGUUUAAUUCAUUGUAAGAUAGAAUUGUUUAUCUUGUUUAUUAUUUUUAGUUAGUUUUAAUAGUACGAAAGGAAAUUUAAAAAAGGUUAUAAACUUUUGUAGGUUAAAAGCUUA